CCUACGGGUGGCAGCAGUGAGGAAUAUUGGUCAAUGGGCGCGAGCCUGAACCAGCCAAGUCGCGUGAGGGAUGAAGGUUCUAUGGAUCGUAAACCUCUUUUAUAAGGGAAUAAAGUGUGGGACGUGUCCUAUUUUGUAUGUACCUUAUGAAUAAGGAUCGGCUAACUCCGUGCCAGCAGCCGCGGUAAUACGGAGGAUCCGAGCGUUAUCCGGAUUUAUUGGGUUUAAAGGGUGCGUAGGCGGCCUUUUAAGUCAGCGGUGAAAGUCUGUGGCUCAACCAUAGAAUUGCCGUUGAAACUGGCAGACUUGAGUUGGCGAGAAGUACGCGGAAUGCGCGGUGUAGCGGUGAAAUGCAUAGAUAUCGCGCAGAACUCCGAUUGCGAAGGCAGCGUACCGGCGCCAGACUGACGCUGAGGCACGAAAGCGUGGGGAUCGAACAGGAUUAGAUACCCUAGUAGUC
rnacentral:rRNA from 1 species